rnacentral:rRNA from 1 species
GAUGAACGCUGGCGGCGUGCCUAAUACAUGCAAGUCGAGCGAAUGGAUUAAGAGCUUGCUCUUAUGAAGUUAGCGGCGGACGGGUGAGUAACACGUGGGUAACCUGCCCAUAAGACUGGGAUAACUCCGGGAAACCGGGGCUAAUACCGGAUAACAUUUUGAACCGCAUGGUUCGAAAUUGAAAGGCGGCUUCGGCUGUCACUUAUGGAUGGACCCGCGUCGCAUUAGCUAGUUGGUGAGGUAACGGCUCACCAAGGCAACGAUGCGUAGCCGACCUGUGAGGGUGAUAGGCCACACUGGGACUGAGACACGGCCCAACCUCCUACGGGAGGCAGCAGUAGGGAAUCUUCCGCAAUGGACGAAAGUCUGACGGAGCAACGCCGCGUGAGUGAUGAAGGCUUACGGGUCGUAAAGCUCUGUUGUUAGGGAAGAACAAGUGCUAGUUGAAUAAGCUGGCACCUUGACGGUACCUAACCAGAAAGCCACGGCUAACUACGUGCCAGCCGCCGCCGUAA